rnacentral:rRNA from 1 species
UACGAAGGUCCCAAGCGUUAUCCGGUUUUAUUGGGUUUAAAGGGUGCGUAGGCGGGUUAUUAAGUCAGUGGUGAAAGCCUUCAGCUCAACUGAAGAAUUGCCAUUGAUACUGAUGAUCUUGAGUAUGAUUGAGGUGGGCGGAAUGUGUCAUGUAGCGGUGAAAUGCUUAGAUAUGACACAGAACACCGAUUGCGAAGGCAGCUCACUAAGUCAUAACUGACGCUGAUGCACGAAAGCGUGGGGAGCAAACAGG